rnacentral:tRNA from 1 species
AGUAAUUUAGCACAGUUGGUUAGUGCACGAGUCGGUAAAACUUGAGAUCAUUGGUUCAAAUCCAAUACUUACAA